rnacentral:rRNA from 1 species
GACGAACGCUGGCGGCGUGCUUAACACAUGCAAGUCGAACGCUGAGGCUUGGUGCUUGCACUGGGUGGAUGAGUGGCGAACGGGUGAGUAAUACGUGAGUAACCUGCCCUUGACUCUGGGAUAAGCCUGGGAAACUGGGUCUAAUACUGGGUACGACAUGUCACCGCAUGGUGGUGUGUGGAAAGGGUUUUACUGGUUUUGGAUGGGCUCACGGCCUAUCAGCUUGUUGGUGGGGUAAUGGCUCACCAAGGCGACGACGGGUAGCCGGCCUGAGAGGGUGACCGGCCACACUGGGACUGAGACACGGCCCAGACUCCUACGGGAGGCAGCAGUGGGGAAUAUUGCACAAUGGGCGGAAGCCUGAUGCAGCGACGCCGCGUGAGGGAUGACGGCCUUCGGGUUGUAAACCUCUUUCAGCACGGAAGAAGCGAAAGUGACGGUACGUGCAGAAGAAGCGCCGGCUAACUACGUG